rnacentral:rRNA from 1 species
UGGGGAAUAUUGCACAAUGGGCGCAAGCCUGAUGCAGCCAUGCCGCGUGUAUGAAGAAGGCCUUCGGGUUGNAAAGUACUUUCAGCGGGGAGGAAGGGAGUAAAGUUAAUACCUUUGCUCAUUGACGUUACCCGCA